rnacentral:rRNA from 1 species
UACGAAGGGAGCUAGCGUUGUUCGGAAUCACUGGGCGUAAAGCGCACGUAGGCGGCUGUGUCAGUCAGGGGUGAAAUCCCGGAGCUCAACUUCGGAACUGCCUCUGAUACAGCACGUCUUGAGUCCGGAAGAGGUGGGUGGAAUUCCUAGUGUAGAGGUGAAAUUCGUAGAUAUUAGGAAGAACACCGGUGGCGAAGGCGGCCCACUGGUCCGGUACUGACGCUGAGGCGCGAAGGCGUGGGGAGCGAACGGG